rnacentral:rRNA from 1 species
CCUACGGGGGGCAGCAGUGGGGAAUAUUGGACAAUGGGCGAAAGCCUGAUCCAGCCAUGCCGCGUGUGUGAAGAAGGCCUUCGGGUUGUAAAGCACUUUCAGUGGGGAAGAAAGCCUUGGGGCUAAUACCCUCGAGGAAGGACAUCACCCACAGAAGAAGCACCGGCUAACUCCGUGCCAGCAGCCGCGGUAAUACGGAGGGUGCGAGCGUUAAUCGGAAUUACUGGGCGUAAAGCGCGCGUAGGCGGUCUGAUAAGCCGGUUGUGAAAGCCCCGGGCUCAACCUGGGAACGGCAUCCGGAACUGUCAGGCUAGGGGGCAGGAGAGGAAGGUAGAAUUCCCGGUGGAGCGGUGAAAUGCGUAGAGAUCGGGAGGAAUACCAGUGGCGAAGGCGGCCUUCUGGACUGACACUGACGCUGGGGUGCGAAAGCGUGGGUAGCAAACAGGAUUAGAUACCCUAGUAGUC